UUUAAGCCCAACCCUAAGUCUCACAUCCAGGAGAGCUGGAGGAUCUUUGACUUCCUAUCCCAUGUUCCUGAAAGCUUGCAUAUGCUCAGCUUCCUUUUUGAUGAUUUGGGUAUUCCACAAGAUUACCGGCACAUGGAAGGCUCUGGUGUUAACACCUAUACUCUAAUCAACAAGGCUGGAAAAGUACACUAUGUGAAAUUUCACUGGAAACCUACUUGUGGUGU
rnacentral:misc_RNA from 1 species